rnacentral:tRNA from 1 species
GGAGGUAUAGCUCACUGGUAAAGCACUAUCUAGCAUGCACAGGUCCUGGGUUUGACUCCCAGCACCUCAA